GCCUGCGCCCCGMGCCGCGCCUCCUCGGCCGCCGGGGGCCGCCCUGCAGGACGGUUUCCUUAGAGGAGUAUCAGGAACCAGCCGAGGAACCUGGCAACGAUGGCCCAGCUACGUGGGGCCAACAGACGUGAUUACCACACAGGAUGUUGGGCAAGGGAGUUCCRGGAAGACCGGGGAGCAGAGGGACACCAAGCCCUCGGAGCCUCAGCGAGGAUUUAGGUCAUACCAGCAGGGUCUGGGUUGGACCUGGGCCAUUGUUUCGCUGUGUCCACCAUGGAAACCAGUUGGUCUUGCUAACUCCGACCCYAGCCACCAAGGGCCACUAGACACAGCUGGCCACCAGUACCACCGUCACCAGGAACCAGGUGUGCCCACGGCCCUGUGAAAGAAGCCAGAAGGAAAGAGGGUGCCCCUGGAGGAGGGGAAACCCUGUGACCAGAUUGUCUGUGGUUUGUCUCAUGCUGCAUAAGGAAGGCCUCGGGGCUGGUCAUGGAGCUACUUAGGUUUGGAUUUUCCUUCCUGGUCUUUGAACUUGGAAUAGGCCAAAGCCAGGGUUAACUCAGCCAGCUUCAAACCAUGGAGASUGAGGCCCGGCGAGAUGAAUGACUCACAGAGCUGUCUGUGGAGUUAGAAAUAAAGUCACGUUGCAGUUUCUAUUUUCAGGUACCACUCCCUAAGUCAGCGCUACUUGCUGGCUCCGUGCUUUUCGCAGGGGGUGGGAGGGGAGGGAACAGGUGCCGUAGAUUUCAGCCACAUGUAGAUUUUCCCAUCCCCGGACACGAGGUGUCUCAGAACUCUUUUUUUUUUUUUUUUAAUUUUUCACAAUUGGCUUCGCAAAGUAGUGAUGAUUUAGUUUUUAUUGCUGCCACGACAGUUUACCACAAYUAAGCCCAGGUUUAUUUUCUCACUGUGGCAGAGGUCAGAAGUCGGACCCGGGCCCCACUGGGGUGAGGUGCUAYGUGGAAAAGCCAUUUUCUUGUUCACACAGUGCAUUAGGCGCUUUCUGCCCAGGGCAGAAUUCAGUGCCUUGUGGUUUUAAGAAUAAAAUCUCCGUUUUCCUUCCGGCUUCAGCUGAGAGUAUCCCAGCUAGGAAGGUCCUCGGUUUGUGGGGCCUCCCUCCAUCUGCUAGGMCAGCAAUGGAAGGUGGGGUGCCUCAAAUUCCUCCUUCUUUUAUCAGGGUCACCUGUGACUCGGCUGGGAAAGGGUGUCUGCUCAUUGGACUGGAUUAGGGACAUCUGUGUAAUCCAAAAUACUCAGAAGCUGUACCCUUAAUCACCUGGACUCCUUUAAGGAGUUAUKACUUUUCCUACCACAAAUUAUAAAUUUACAGAUGAUUCCAACCCCCCCUUGUGUGUGUGGGUGGGUGGGGGGUGGAGGGUGUUCCUGGGAAUUGAACUUAGGGCCUUGCACGUGCUAGGUGUGUGCUGUACUUUUGAGCUCCAUCACCAGUCCUUUUUUAUCUUUUAUUUUGRGACAGGGUCUCACCAAGUUGCCCAGGCUGGCCUUAAACUUGUGAUCUUUCUGCCUGAGCAGCUGGAAUUACAGGCUCAACCCCUCUUGAUUAUGCAGGAUCUUUAUCACAUCAAUUCUUAUAAGAACCUUAUUGAGAUAAUAAGAUAACCUUAUUCACAUUCUACACAAUUCACUGACUUAAAUGUGCAACUMAGUGGUUUUUAGUAUGUUCAGUUGUGUGACCAUCUCCACAACCAAACUUAGAAUCUGUUUUCAUCACCCAGAAAGGGAUCCCUGUACCCAUUAGAAUCACUGCCUAUUUCCCCCCAAACUUCUAAAACCACUAAUCGGUUUUCUGUCUCUAUGGACUUGCAGAUUCUGAACAUUUCAUAGAAACAGACCAUACAAAUGAGGCCUUUUGUGUCUAAACAUACCUGUGUCUGUCUGUAUGUUUUCAGGGUUCAUAUGUGUUAUAGCAUGUAUCAGCAUUUCACUCCU